rnacentral:rRNA from 1 species
UACAGAGGUCUCAAGCGUUGUUCGGAUUCAUUGGGCGUAAAGGGUGUGUAGGUGGCGCCGUAAGUCGGGUGUGAAAUUUCGGAGCUUAACUCCGAAACUGCAUUCGAUACUGCGGUGCUUGAGGACUGGAGAGGAGACUGGAAUUCAUGGUGUAGCAGUGAAAUGCGUAGAGAUCAUGAGGAAGACCAGUGGCGGAAGGCGGGUCUCUGGACAGUUCCUGACACUGAGACACGGAAGGCCAGGGGAGCAAACGGG